GGGGUGUAGCUUAGUCCGGAUAAAGCGCACAUCUGGGGGGGUUAGAUCGGAGGUACAAAUCCUCUCACCCCCG
rnacentral:tRNA from 1 species